rnacentral:rRNA from 1 species
UGUCGGGUAAGUUCCGACCCGCACGAAAGGCGUAACGAUUUGGGCACUGUCUCAACAACAGACUCGGUGAAAUUGUAAUUCCGGUGAAGAUGCCGGAUACCUGCGACAGGACGGAAAGACCCCAUGGCGCUUUACUGUAGCUUGACAUUGGGUCUUGGUACUACAUGUACAGGAUAGGUGGGAGGCUUUGAAACCAGGACGCCAGUUUUGGCGGAGCCAUCCUUGGGAUACCACCCUUGUAGUACUGGGACUCUAACCAUAGGCCAUGAAUCUGGUCUUGG